AAUUCUCUAAUAAUUUUGCAGUAUGGUUAUGAUAAGGAAGAUAAGGCUACUCAAGCUUAUGAUUUAGCAGCAUUGAAGUAUUGGGGAACUAUCACAACUACAAAUUUUCCAAUGAGUAACUAUGAGAAAGAGAUAGAGGAAAUGAAGCAUAUGACAAGGCAGGAAUAUGUAGCAUCAUUGAGAAGAAAAAGCAGUGGAUUCUCUAGAGGAGCAUCCACGUAUACAGGAGUUAGAGUUUAAAAUUAUUUAAGACCAUUAUCUUAAGGCUAUUUGCAAAAAUAGGCCACUAUUUUUCGGACUUGCAAAAAUAGGCCAAUUAUUUUAGUUUUUGGCAUUUUUAGGCCACAUUUGAGCUCAAUUUAGCAUUUAUAGGCCAUUUUUUGGGGUCAAAAUGUGGCCCAAAAUAGCCUGA